rnacentral:rRNA from 1 species
AUGAAUGCUGGCGGCGUGCCUAACACAUGCAAGUCGAGCGGUAACAGGUCUAGUUUACUAGAUGCUGACGAGCGGCGGACGGCUGAGUAACGCGUGGGAACGUGCCCCAAAGUGAGGGAUAAGCAUCGGAAACGAUGUCUAAUACCGCAUAUGGUCUUCGGAUUAAAGGAUUUAUCCGCUUUGGGAGCGGCCCGCGUCGGAUUAGGUAGUUGGUAGGGUAAUGGCCUACCAAGCCUACGAUCCGUAGCUGGUCUGAGAGGAUGAUCAGCCAGACUGGAACUGAGACACGGUCCAGACUCCUACGGGAGGCAGCAGUGAGGAAUCUUCCACAAUGGGCGAAAGCCUGAUGGAGCAACGCCGCGUGAAGGAUGAAGGCCCUAGGGUUGUAAACUUCUUUUAUAAGUGAAGAAUAUGACGGUAACUUAUGAAUAAGCACCGGCUAACUACGU